CGGCGGACGGGUGAGUAACGCGUGGGAAUCUACCGAGUAGUGGGGGACAACCAGUGGAAACACUGGCUAAUACCGCAUAUUUCCUAUUUAACUUAAAUAGGGUAAAGCAGGGGAUCUUAGGACCUUGCGCUAUUCGAUGAGCCCGCGUUGGAUUAGCUAGAUGGUAGGGUAAUGGCCUACCAUGGCGACGAUCCAUAGCUGGUCUGAGAGGAUGGUCAGCCACACUGGGACUGAGACACGGCCCAGACUCCUACGGGAGGCAGCAGUGGGGAAUAUUGCACAAUGGGCGCAAGCCUGAUGCAGCCAUGCCGCGUGUGUGAAGAAGGCUCUAGGGUUGUAAAGCACUUUCAGUGGUGAAGAAAAAAUUAACGUUAAUACCGUUAAUUCCUGACGUUAACCACAGAAGAAGCACCGGCUAACUUCGUGCCAGCAGCCGCGGUAAU
rnacentral:rRNA from 1 species